GCGAAGUUUCUGACAAGAGACGCAGUUAGCGAUGUGAUAACCCACAGCUGAGCUUCCACCGAUUACCCAAAACCCGUUCGAUCGUAGUUCGUUCAAAGUCAUACCACGUCCUUGAUGACUAAGUGCUUCAUGAUAGUGCCGUAUGAUCAGUGUUGUGACAUGUCCCUUUCUUGGAAGUAUAGCGGGGUGCUUGACGUGAUGAGGGGCGUUGGAACGUUUGAUUCGGCCACCAACUCUCAGGACUCCAUCGUGGUCGAUGAAUGGGUCCAACUGGUAAAGACAAC